ACUCACUCUCCUGCCGCCUUGUGAAGAAGGUGCCUGCUUUCUCUUCUGCCAUAAUUAAAUAUUGAUUGCAAACACAAGUGCAUGUGAGUGUAGAGGGACAGGCCUGCUCUCUGUAUCCCUCUCCUGGCCCUCCCUGUGCUUUUGCUUUGGUCAGCAGGCUAAAGGAGGACGACUCUGUAUCUUGCUGCACUCUCUCUUGCCUUCUUAGCUUGGAUUCUUUGAUGAAACAAACCACCAUAUUGGAGCAUUCCACCUGCCAAAGAACUGAAGGCAAGCUUCAGCCAACAGCCAGCAAGGAACUAAGAUCUUCAGCCCAAAGCCACAGGGAACUGAGUCCUGCCAACCACCACAUCAGUGAGCAUAGAUGGGAUCCUCCACAGUUGAACUUUCAGAUGAGACCAGAGCCACACCUGACAAUUUGAUUGCAGCCUUGCAGACAAUCCUGAAGCAGAGGACCCAGUUCAAUCAUGCUGGGAUUCCUGACCCACAGAAUCCAUGAGAAAAUAAAUGUGUGUGUUUAAGCCUCUACAUUUUGAGGCAAUUUGUUAUACAGCAAGAGAUAAUGAAUGAAUACUUUUGU
rnacentral:lncRNA from 1 species